UGGCUCUCGCAUCGAUGAAGAACGCAGCGAAAUGCGAUAAGUAAUGUGAAUUGCAGAAUUCAGUGAAUCAUCGAAUCUUUGAACGCACCUUGCGCUCGUCGGUAUUCCGAGGAGCAUGCCUGUUUGAGUGUCAUGGUACCCUCAACCCCGCGAGUUUUUCUUUCGAGGGUUGGACUUGGAGGUCGUGCUGGCCCUUGACGGGUCAGCUCCUCUGAAAAGCAUUAGUGCAAGCGUACACUGAGCACCUCGGCGUGAUAAUUAUCUGCGUCGUGGGCAAAGUUAACCGAGCUCUGCGCUUACAACCGCCGCCGCGAGGGGGCAACUUCUGACAUCUGGCCUCAAAUCAGGUAGGACUACCCGCUGA
rnacentral:misc_RNA from 1 species